ACGGAAGGCAGCAGUGGGGAAUAUUGCACAAUGGGGGAAACCCUGAUGCAGCGACGCCGCGUGAGUGAAGAAGUUAUUCGUAAUGUAAAGCUCUAUCAGCAGGGAAGAAAAUGACGGUACCUGACUAAGAGGCCCCGGCUAACUACGUGCCAGCAGCCGCGGUAAUACGUAGGGGGCAAGCGUUAUCCGGAUUUACUGGGUGUAAAGGGAGCGUAGACGGUCUAGCAAGUCUGAUGUGAAAGGCAGGGGCUCAACUCCUGGACUGCAUUGGAAACUGUUAGUCUUGAGUGUCGGAGAGGUAAGCGGAAUUCCUAGUGUAGCGGUGAAAUGCGUAGAUAUUAGGAGGAACACCAGUGGCGAAGGCGGCUUACUGGACGAUAACUGACGUUGAGGCUCGAAAGCGUGGGGAGCAAACAGGAUUAGAUACCCUGGUA
rnacentral:rRNA from 1 species